GGCUCUACUCUCACUAGCUCCCAACUCGUCAGUUAUCAUCUUUACGGUUCUAAGAUACUCCAAAGGAUCAUCACCCGUCUCAAACUUGGGAACAUCUAACCUCAAAUAGUCUGUCAUCUGCACCAUACUUUCUCCAGGUAAACUAGGCUUAGGUGUUUGAAUAACUGAGGCUACUGGUUCUACUGGUGGUGGAGGAGGUGCAACAUUCCCUGAGGUAGAGUUUGCUGAACUUGGAUAACCAAAGAAAGGUGGGAACAUGGUAUACUGUGGAUAUGGUGGGUAAAAGGGAGGAUAGGGCAUAAAGGUGGGAUAUGGGUUAUA
rnacentral:lncRNA from 1 species